rnacentral:rRNA from 1 species
UACGUAGGGGGCGAGCGUUGUCCGGAAUUAUUGGGCGUAAAGGGCUCGUAGGCGGUUUGUCACGUCGGGCGUGAAAACUCAGGGCUCAACCCUGAGCGUGCGUUCGAUACGGGCAGACUAGAGGUAUGCAGGGGAGAACGGAAUUCCUGGUGUAGCGGUGGAAUGCGCAGAUAAUCAGGAGGAACACCGGUGGCGAAGGCGGUUCUCUGGGCAUUACCUGACGCUGAGGAGCGAAAGCAUGGGGAGCGAACAGG